GAAAAGCAAGGAAGAGAACAAUCACACCGACAGCAAUAAGGAUCAGCUUCAGCGCCUCCGCAGCAAACCCCUGGGCUGGGAUGGGAUUUGCUAAGAUUUACAGUCCUUCCUCAGGAUUUCUGGCCAGUGGAUUGGGCGGGGGAAAUGUGAUUGUCUGUGAUAUUUGUACUGUUAGUCGGCAUGUUGUCCUUAGCUCUGUUAAUUAUAUUUUAUAAAGUUUUCAAUAAACAACAGAAAAAUCCC